GAAGGGUACACAGGUCACUAAAAAGCCUUUUGACCUUUACCCUAUAAUGGUCGCUAUAAUAUACGUCGAGAACAAUAAACGUGUUAUUAUAUUUCUAGCAAGUUUCGCUGCUGAUAAAUCCUGAUUAAUUCCUUGCUUCUAUAGAUCUACAUUUUGCUGCUUUUUAUUAAUCACCAGUGUGUUCCUGUAGGCCUAUAGCUGCAGGUUUCUGUAUAGACCUAAUUGGAAAUUGAGAUCAGCCUACAUCUUGCCAUUGCCAAUUUUAUUAUCUGAUUGAAAAUAUUGCCAUCCAUAGCCAAAGAACAUCACCCACAACGGUUUAAGUUGUAUGAGGCUACUAAAGCCACAUCUGCACAUCUUAGAGUAUCAAGAAAAGGAUGUCUUGAUAAUACCUCAGAAAAUGGAAAUCCAUCAGAAAAAACUGCCAGAAAGCAAGCAUUAGAUUAGUCUGCAAUACAGCUAGGUCUCCAAAAAAUGAUGCAAACAACCAUUUUGACACAGUCUACAUUCGAAGAAGGAUUAAUAAAGAUGCUGGUGGAGGAUAUGGAGCCAAUAGCUGCACUUGAGCGUAGUGGAUUUAGAAAAUUUUGUUAACAUUUUUUUCCAAAAUAUUCCUUACCAAGCUGUAGAAAAGCUUCUCGGCAAUUACAGGAGCUGUAUUAUG